UGAUGCUCUAAGAUAUAAAAAGAGAAUGGGA
rnacentral:piRNA from 1 species